UACGUAGGGUGCAAGCGUUGUCCGGAAUUAUUGGGCGUAAAGAGCUCGUAGGCGGCUUGUCACGUCGACUGUGAAAACCCGGGGCUCAACUCCGGGCCUGCAGUCGAUACGGGCUGGCUUGAGUGCGGUAGGGGAGACUGGAAUUCCUGGUGUAGCGGUGAAAUGCGCAGAUAUCAGGAAGAACACCCAUGGCUAAGGCGGUUCUCUAGUACGGUACUGACGCUGAGACGCGAAAGCAUGGGGAGCGAACAGG
rnacentral:rRNA from 1 species